AACCUCUCAACAAAGGCCGACCUCAUCCUCUCCCUAACCGCCCUGUCCACCACCAUCGCCGCCGACAUCGCCACCAGACAAACCCUAACUGCCCCGAACAACCUCUCCGGCGACUCCUCCUCCGCCUGCGCUGAGUAGAAAGUGAAAAGUGGGAUUUUUCUUUAUGGUCAAACGGAAGAUAAAACUGAGUUUUUCAUUCAAUCCAUAUCACAAACAGUUGGUGUCCAUUAUUACUUGUACUCACAUCUCUCUCUCUCUCUCUCUCUCUCUCUCUCUGGAAUACACGUAUACAAGUUCACAUACACCUCAGCAGAGAAACACAGCACUACCUCACAAACUAACUUCUAACAAACUCAACGGAAUAUAAUCUAGUGCUUAGUCAGACUCAUAAUAGUCGGUGUGCCUAACAUGCGCCUCCACCACGAACCCCAUGUCCACCGUCAUCGCCGUCCAACACCGCGUUCGCAAUCACCGAGCUUCCAAU